rnacentral:rRNA from 1 species
UACGUAGGGUGCGAGCGUUGUCCGGAAUUACUGGGCGUAAAGAGCUCGUAGGUGGUUUGUCGCGUUGUCCGUGAAAACUCACAACUCAAUUGUGGGCGUGCGGGCGAUACGGGCAGACUGGAGUACUGCAGGGGAGACUGGAAUUCCUGGUGUAGCGGUGAAAUGCGCAGAUAUCAGGAGGAACACCGAUGGCGAAGGCAGGUCACUGGGCCGCAACUGACGCUGAGGAGCGAAAGCAUGGGGAGCGAACAGG